GUUAAGAUGGCAGAGCCUGGUAAUUGCGUAAGACUUAAAACUUUAUUUCAGAGGUUCAACUCCUCUUCUUAACA
ensembl:Mt_tRNA